rnacentral:rRNA from 1 species
UGGGGAAUUUUGCGCAAUGCUCGAAAGAGUGACGCAGCGACGCCGCGUGAAUGACGAAGGCCUUCGGGUCGUAAAGUUCUUUCGACAGGGAAGAAAUUGUGUAACAGUAACUGGUUAUAUAUUGACGGUAACUGUAUAAGCAGCCCCGGCUAGCUCCGUGCCAGCAGCCGCGGUAAUACGGAGGGGGCGAGCGUUGUUCGGAGUGACUGGGCGUAAAGAGCACGUAGGCGGUGUUGUAAGUCAUUAGUCAAAGACUAGAGCUCAACUUUAGUAAGGCUAGUGAUACUAUAAUACUAGAGUAUCAGAGAGGAUUGCAGAAUUCCUGGUGUAGCGGUGAAAUGCGUAGACAUCAGGAGGAAUACCAUUAGCGAAGGCGGCGAUCUGGCUGGAAACUGACGCUGAGGUGCGAAAGCGUGGGUAGCAAACAGGA